rnacentral:rRNA from 1 species
GACGAACGCUGGCGGCGUGCCUAACACAUGCAAGUCGAACGGAAACAAUUUGAAGCUUGCUUUGAGUUGUUUUAGUGGCGGACGGGUGAGUAACGCGUGAGGAACCUGCCUUUCAGAGGGGGAUAACGUCUGGAAACGGACGCUAAUACCGCAUGAUAUCUCGAGGCCGCAUGGUCAUGAGAUCAAAGGAGCAAUCCGCUGAAAGAUGGACUCGCGUCCGAUUAGCCAGUUGGUGAGGUAAUGGCCCACCAAAGCUGCGAUCGGUAGCCGGACUGAGAGGUUGAACGGCCACAUUGGGACUGAGACACGGCCCAGACUCCUACGGGAGGCAGCAGUGGGGGAUAUUGCACAAUGGAGGAAACUCUGAUGCAGCAACGCCGCGUGAGGGAAGAAGGUCUUCGGAUCGUAAACCUUUGUCCUCGGUGACGAUAAUGACGGUAGCCGAGGAGGAAGCUCCGGCUAACUACGUG